GAUGAACGCUGGCGGCGUGCCUAAUACAUGCAAGUCGAGCGAACAGACGAGGAGCUUGCUCCUCUGACGUUAGCGGCGGACGGGUGAGUAACACGUGGAUAACCUACCUAUAAGACUGGGAUAACUUCGGGAAACCGGAGCUAAUACCGGAUAAUAUAUUGAACCGCAUGGUUCAAUAGUGAAAGACGGUUUUGCUGUCACUUAUAGAUGGAUCCGCGCCGCAUUAGCUAGUUGGUAAGGUAACGGCUUACCAAGGCAACGAUGCCUAGCCGACCUGAGAGGGUGAUCGGCCACUCUGGAACUGACACACCGUCCAGACACCUACGGGCGGCAGCAGUAGGGAAUCUUCCGCAAGGGGCGAAAGCUUGACGGAGCAACGCCGCGUGAGUGAUGAAGGUCCUCGGAUCGUAAAACCCUGUUAUUAGGGAAGAACAAAUGUGUAAGUAACUAUGCCCGUCUUGACGGUACCGAAUCAGAAAGCCACGGCUAACUACGU
rnacentral:rRNA from 1 species